rnacentral:piRNA from 1 species
UGUUUGAGUCAAAAGAAUUCUAGCUGGCAU